UUUGAAGGAAAGUCCUAGAUUUGCAUUAAACUGUGACAUGAGUGAGAAAGACAAUUUUGUGUGAAGGCACUGAGAUAUUCUGGUUAUUUUUUAACACAAUCAAAAUUAAGUACCCUGAAAUAUAUAAGAAGUAAAUGCUAAUUCAUAAAGUAAAAAUCUUAAGUGCCGUAGAAGUUUAAAGAAGAUGGAGAUCUGUUAACAUCUCAACAUUAUGAACUCGAAUACUCCAUAGAGACUUAGUUUCUCACACUCUGUUUUUAAAUGAGUUGCAGUAGUCAAGAGGAAAACAUAUGGAAGAGAAAGAAAUCAAGCUGGACUUUGGAGCUCUCCUGCCACUGGAUGACACAGCAAGGAGGCCUUUACCAGAUCCCAGCACUUUCGUCUUGGAUUUCCCAGCCCCUAGAACGCACUUCUUGCUGCCACUGUGUGAAGAAGGAUGUGUUUGCUUCCCCUUCCACCAUGAGUGUUAAGUUUCCUGAGGCCUCCCCAGCCAUGCUGAACUGUGAGUCAAUUAAACCUCUUUCCUUUAUAAAUUACCCAGUCUCGGGUAUGUCUUUAUUAGCGGCAUGAGAAUGGACUAAUA
rnacentral:lncRNA from 10 species